rnacentral:rRNA from 1 species
AAAUUCUCAACGAUGGAUAUCUUGGUUCCCAUAACGAUGAAGAACGCAGCGAAGUGCGAUAAGCAGUGCGAAUUGCAGAACCGUGAGUCAUCAGAUUUUUGAACGCAAAUGGCGCCAGUUGGAAUCCCAAUUGGCAUGCUUGUUUCAGUGUCUUGUAUCCCCCUCAACCAUAUCUUAAUGUGAGAGAUGCCCUUCUCU